rnacentral:rRNA from 1 species
AGUGAACGCUGGCGGCAGGCCUAAUACAUGCAAGUCGAACGGCAGGACAGUAAGAGUGCGCCCUUACGGGUGGCGGGGGACGGGCGGGUGAGGCGUGGAUAGGAAACUAAUAUUACGGGGGGGACAACGGGAGGCAACAGACACUAAUAGCGCAUACGACCAACGGGAGGGAGCAAGGGAGAAUGAGGGCUUGGCCGACUGAUAGAGACGAAGCCGGAUUAGCUAGUUGAGGGGGUAACGGCACACCAAGGCGACGAUACGUAGCGGGUCUGAGAGGAUGAUCAGCCACACUGGAACUGAGACACGGUCCAGACUCCUACGGGAGGCAGCAGUGGGGAAUAUUGGACAAUGGGCGAAAGCCUGACCCAGCCAUACCGCGUGGGUGAAGAAGGUCUUCGGGUUGUAAAGCUCUUUUAUUAGGGAAGAACAACUGCAUAUUAAUCCCCCGCCGUCUUGACGGUACCCAAUCAGUAAGCCCCGGCUAACUUCGUG